AUUUUAGAGCCCCGAGGGAUUCCCCUUUGCUUUAACAUGGGGGUACCUGCUGUGUAAAACAAAAGUAAGUGCUUCCAUGUUUCAGUGGAGGUGUCUCCAAGUGGACACGACUUAAU
rnacentral:pre_miRNA from 12 species